rnacentral:rRNA from 1 species
CAAUAGCGUAUAUUAAAGUUGUUGCAGUUAAAAAGCUCGUAGUUGGAUUUCUGGUCGGAAGCUCCUGUCCUCUGAUGAGCGUACAAGUGCGUCCUACCAUCCUUCUGUUAACCUUUAAGGCUUUCGCGGCUUUCUAGGGGCUCAGAUAUUUUACCUUGAGAAAAUUAGAGUGUUUCAGACAGGCUAGCGCCGGAAUACAUUAGCAUGGAAUAAUGGAAUAGGACUUUUGCCUCUUCUGUUGGUCAUGAGGCUCGAGUAAUGAUUAAUAGGGAUAGUUGGGGGCAUUAGUACUUAACUGUCAGAGGUGAAAUUCUCGGAUUUGUUAAAGACUAACUUAUGCGAAAGCAUUUGCCAAGGAUGUUUUCAUUA